AACAUUAGUCUCAAACAUAUAUUUCAAUGAUUAAACACAAACAUUAGUAUCAUCAUUUGUCUCAAAAACUAAACAUUAAGCACAUUCAUUCCAACGAUUAAUCAUAAAGGAUCUACUACAUCCAUUCAAGCAAUUACUAUACUUAAUUAUCUAAUACAACUGCACGACAAAAUUAACUUCAUUGAUUGUUAUUUGGAUUACUUCAAUUGGAGGAUCUUCUUUUAUUCAUACGUGAAAUGGAUCCACUAGCUGCAUCACUUGGCUACAAAAAGAAUUUAAAUUAUAAUUAAUCAAAAGGACCACAAUAAAAUCAUAUUCAAUAAACUACAACUUAGCUAAUUAAAAGAGAUCAACUUAGAUCAUUUCAGCAGAAAGCAAAAUAUGAAUACAAGCUACUAUCUGCAUACAAUUUAUCUACCGAGCACAUGAUUUAGGAACCAUCAUUCACGAACACACAACACAUAACAUGAUUUAGGAACCAACAUUCAUGGGCACAUAGGUUAAAAAAUAUCCGAAGUAAAAUUAGUUUAGUUCUAUAGAUAAGACCAUAUGUUGUCACUUAUCAAAUAUUGAUCUCAAUUUCAACUCGAGUAAUCUUUGCAUGGAAUCAAAGCAAUAUAACACUUAACUCGAGUUGAUAUUAUGAAUAAGAUCAACAGGUUGAAAACUUAAAAGAAAUAACACACAAGCUCAUAUGUCUUUUCAACAAUAACUUUGGUCUUUAAGAAGAUAAUAAAAAUCAACUAAUCGUCCAAACAAUCAUCAAAAUACAAUAGUUGAAAGAAAUUUGAAUAUAACUCCAUGAAUCCAAUGAUAAAGACCCAUGAAAAUUUUGAAACAUGCUCAAAAAGUAAAAGAAGACGAGAACUAACAUGAAUUUGGCCUAAUUCUACAUCAAACAGGUGCAACAAAACUAAUACACAAACUUAGAACCCAACUUUUCUUUUUCCUUAAAGCAUAUUAUUAGGACCAAAAUAGAGCCAAAAAUUACAGCUUAAUGAAUUAGUUGCUACUUACCUCAACAGAGAUAAUGAGACAGAGAAACACUGAUUGCAAAAUUUCAAAACUGAAAGCCUUCUUAAAGAAAAGAUGAAAAGAACAAGGUUUAUUGAGGGGUUUUAAGG
rnacentral:lncRNA from 1 species